ACCGUCUAAGGAAAUUACCACUGGAGGCGACUGAAGGCGCUGCCACCGUAGCACAACCAGGCCACUUUGCUGUCUGUGUAGCUUAGAAAGGGAGAGAGAUAUAAGCCUAUCCAUCAACCACUGUAGCAGUUCUUCCCCACUGUAGAAAUUUUACCUAGGAGGCCAAUCGCCAGGGGAGGAAGAAGAAGGGACGACUAGGAGAGCACCAGCCGUAAGGGGAGAAGCAAGGGGGAUUAGGAAUCCAAGCAGCUGACCAAUCAGAUCUGGACAUUCCCAAGUGAUUAAGAUUAUGAGUCGGUAGAUACGGAAGUGGAGUACCCAGACGUCCAGGAGGAGGAGUUGGAUGUGCAGGCAACCACCGAAGAAGGAGUCAAGUACUAUAUGGACUUCAAUGAGCUUGUUGAUCCAUAGAGUUAGAGGAUGUAAAUUGCAAUAAGAGAGUGGUUGAGAAUACCGUUGUAGUAUAAACUCAGUUUUAUAUUUCCUUGUUCUUUUGGAGUUCUUGUUGUACUUGGUAUCAGAUCCUUUGUAUUAUAUCACAGUUUGGAGCUUGUUUGAAUCUUGUGUAAUAUAAGUUUGUACUAUGGACCGCUGCAA